UCUGUCUCUCUGUGUUUCUCUGUCUGUCGGUCUGUCUGUCUCUCUCAGUUGGCUGCCUCCGUGCUGAACCCGACGUGUGUGUGAGAGAAAUUCGGAUCUCACAUGGACCUUCACCUUCUCUGUGAUGAUGUUCCUCUGAUGAAGCUGAAGAACCAUGAGUUUGUCCUGGAGGAGAGUGUGAAGCCGUGGUGGAGUGUCCUCGAGGAAGAUGCCGACCUCUGACCUCCCCAAGGAGCGGAGUGUUCCGUGGGGACGAGAAGGGCCGGCGCUGCCCUCAGUGUCGUCUGACAGGCUGAUAAAACCUCUGAUGAGCUUCACAGCUGCGAAACAUCAUUUCUGAGGGGGCGUGUCUAACACAGGAACACCCCCUGGACGACCUCAUGAACCCUGGCAAAGGAUUCUAAGAUGGCUGCUGGCUACAAUGUUUACGUGUUAGCGUUGUUAGCAUGAAGACAUCGAACGAUGAUGAUGAAGGUGAUGAUGCUGAUGCUGAUGGUGAUGAAGGUGAA